UGGGGAAUAUUGCACAAUGGGCGCAAGCCUGAUGCAGCCAUGCCGCGUGUGUGAAGAAGGCCUUCGGGUUGUAAAGCACUUUCAGCGAGGAGGAAGGCGUUAAGGUUAAUAACCUUGGCGAUUGACGUUACUCGCAGAAGAAGCACCGGCUAACUCCGUGCCAGCAGCCGCGGUAAUACGGAGGGUGCAAGCGUUAAUCGGAAUUACUGGGCGUAAAGCGCACGCAGGCGGUUUGUUAAGUCAGAUGUGAAAUCCCCGAGCUUAACUUGGGAACUGCAUUUGAAACUGGCAAGCUAGAGUCUUGUAGAGGGGGGUAGAAUUCCAGGUGUAGCGGUGAAAUGCGUAGAGAUCUGGAGGAAUACCGGUGGCGAAGGCGGCCCCCUGGACAAAGACUGACGCUCAGGUGCGAAAGCGUGGGGCAGCAAACAGGAUUAGAUACCCUGGUAGUCCACGCUGUAAACGAUGUCGAUUUGGAGGUUGUGGGCUUGACCCGUGGCUUCCGGAGCUAACGCGUUAAAUCGACCGCCUGG
rnacentral:rRNA from 1 species